rnacentral:rRNA from 1 species
UAGUGAGUUUGAUCCUGGCUCAGGAUGAACGCUGGCGGUCUGCUUAACACAUGCAAGUCGAACGCAAGUAGAAAUACUUGAGUGGCGGACGGGUGAGUAACGCGUGAGAAUCUGCCUUCUGGUCGGGGACAACCACUGGAAACGGUGGCUAAUACCGGAUAUGCCUAUGGGUGAAAGAUUAAUUGCCUAGAGAGAGGCUCGCGUCCGAUUAGCUAGUUGGCGGGGUAAAACGCCCACCAAGGCAGUGAUCGGUAGCUGGUCUGAGAGGAUGAUCA